GACGAACGCUGGCGGCGUGCUUAACACAUGCAAGUCGAACGGAAAGGCCCUGCUUUUGUGGGGUGCUCGAGUGGCGAACGGGUGAGUAACACGUGAGUAACCUGCCCUUGACUUUGGGAUAACUUCAGGAAACUGGGGCUAAUACCAGAUAGGAGCUCCUGCUGCAUGGUGGGGGUUGGAAAGUUUCGGCGGUUGGGGAUGGACUCGCGGCUUAUCAGCUUGUUGGUGGGGUAGUGGCUUACCAAGGCUUUGACGGGUAGCCGGCCUGAGAGGGUGACCGGCCACAUUGGGACUGAGAUACGGCCCAGACGCCUACGGGAGGCAGCAGUGGGGAAUAUUGCACAAUGGGCGGAAGCCUGAUGCAGCAACGCCGCGUGCGGGAUGACGGCCUUCGGGUUGUAAACCGCUUUCGCCUGUGACGAAGCGUGAGUGACGGUAAUGGGUAAAGAAGCACCGGCUAACUACGUG
rnacentral:rRNA from 1 species